rnacentral:misc_RNA from 1 species
UCAAAAUCCUUGUUUGUUGUAGAUUUUGAUUCUUCUGUUAUUGCUAAAAAGUGCAUGCAUGGAUUAAUGAAUUAAAUUUAAAAAAAAAAACUUCGACCAGGAAUUAAGCGAUCUAGUACACCACAUUUGUAACGCACUGUAUUCUGGAUACAUACAUAUAAUGUACUGAUAUUUUUGUUUUAGUUUUUGAAAUAAAAUUUUAGUUCAUGAAACUCCCAAAAUGUAUGGUUAGUGAGAUAUGUUCAACGUUGAAAAACUUUGUAUUCUUAAAAUUGAAAUUAUAUAUGUGGAAAGAAUAAAAUGUUUUAUUAGUUAUUUUAUGCUCAUAUAUUCAUGUUAAAAGUUUCUGUGUAAAAUUAUUCAAAGGGGCUUGGUAUGCUUCAGUUCAUAUUCACAAAUUAUUAUGUGGAAUUUUCCAUCAAGAAAUGUGCUUGGCAAAAAAUGAAACAAGGUGCAUACAAAACUAAAAUGAUUCGUAUUCAGGGAUGUGCUAUUGUAACCUCAUGGAUGUGCAUGAUGUAACAUAAAAAGUUAUUUCAUCAUUAUUAUUUAGGGUACUAUAUCAUGAAUUUUGUGUUUCAACAGUAGUUCAAAGUAUAAUGAAAUUAAAAAAUAGGUGUGAGGAAAAUUCACUAGACAAAAAUAUUUAGGCCUGCAUAAAUUUCUCUUUGCUGGCUUGUCUUCCUUUGUCCAGUAAAAAAUAAAUUUGAAGCAUGUUUUCUACAUAUUUUAAAUUGCAAUUUGAAUGCUAACUAAAGUUAAUCCCAAAGAAUGUGUAAGUGUGAGUUAUGGAAAUCAUUUUGAUUGAAUGUUCAACUAUUAUUAUCCCUGCAUUCUGGCUAUAUGUUUAUAUUUGUUAAUCAUAUUUUUGAACAAAAAAUUGACUGAAACAAUCGAAUAGGAUAAUUUCUAGGUACCUAUUGUUGUAGAAAAAACUAUGUACUUGAUACUUAUUUGUUGAAAACAAAAAGUUAUAACAGCUUGUAUUGUUCUCGGUUUUGAAAAGCUUGAUUCUGAAGCAGUCUGUCCAUCACAUUCCUUUAAUGUUUGUAUUUGUUCAUUUGCUUAACUUGGUUUUGUUUGUUGUUUAAUUACAGACAUUUCUUGUUUUGGCCAAUGGUGAUUUUGACACUUCAUGAUAAAUAUAUUACAAAAGUGAAAAAGGGGUUUGCCAGACAUUUUGUUAACACAAGAUUUUAUUCAUAUUUAUGCGUUUUGUUAACUUAUUUAGAAGCAAUAAUUGGUUCAUAAAAUUGAAAAUGAACCGAGUUAUAUGGAGUAUGUCGUCUUGGUUAUGUUGUAUAAUUACAAAUAAAAUAAAAUCAGAUUUUAUUUACAGU